AUUGAACGCUGGCGGCAGGCCUAACACAUGCAAGUCGAGCGGGGUUUUCGGACCUAGCGGCGGACGGGUGAGUAAUGCGUAGGAAGCUGCCCGAUAGAGGGGGAUACCAGUUGGAAACGACUGUUAAUACCGCAUAAUGUCUACGGACCAAAGUGUGGGACCUUCGGGCCACAUGCUAUCGGAUGCGCCUACGUGGGAUUAGCUAGUUGGUGAGGUAAUGGCUCACCAAGGCGACGAUCUCUAGCUGGUUUGAGAGGAUGAUCAGCCACACUGGAACUGAGACACGGUCCAGACUCCUACGGGAGGCAGCAGUGGGGAAUAUUGGACAAUGGGCGCAAGCCUGAUCCAGCCAUGCCGCGUGUGUGAAGAAGGCCUUCGGGUUGUAAAGCACUUUCAGCGAGGAGGAAGGGGUGUGUUAAUAGUACACACCUUUGACGUUACUCGCAGAAGAAGCACCGGCUAACUCUGUGCCAGCAGCCGCAGUAACAC
rnacentral:rRNA from 1 species